AAAAAGGGGAGUGGUUGUAUUAUUUUGGCACUGAGAAGAGGAGGAGGGGUUCAGACUUUUAAAAGCUUCAAGUGACAGUAGCUGUUCUCAGUUCUCCAGAUUUACCGAGCUGCUCCCUGACCUCCGACCAGCGCGACACACAGAGACAUAUGAGUCAUGGAGAGCAGCUUUAAACUGGAGCAGAGCAGGCAGACCGUCACUGCAUCAGCUGGACCUAAGCGCUACGAGUGUGACCAGUGUGGAAAGUCCCUGGCUACAGCAAAGACCCUCCAAAAACACAUGAGGGUCCACACUGGUGAGAGACCUUACAGCUGUGACCACUGUGAAAAGACUUUCAGACUACAAUCUGGUUUAAGUGUGCACCAGAGGACUCACAGAGGACUGAAGCCUUUUAAGUGUGACCAGUGUGGGAAGAGGUUCAGUUGGCGCAGCUCUGUGCCACGACACAUGAACAUUCACACACGAGACAAAAUAUACCCCUGUGAGGAGUGGGAAAAUAUUAAAUGACAAAACCGGGCUUAAGUACCAUAGGAGAAUUCACACUGGAGUCAAGCCAUUUGAGUGUGACCAGUGUGGGAAAGCCUUCAUCUCAUCUGGGCAACUGAAAAAACACAUGGCAAUGCAUUCUGAUGAGCGGCUGUACAGCUGUGAUGAGUGUGGUCAAAGCUUUAAACAGGAGAAACUCCUUUGUAAACACAUGAACAUCCACACCCAAGACAAAAUAUUCAGCUGUGACGAGUGUGGAAAAACAUUUAAUGUCAAAAGCACACUUAAGUACCAUAAGAGAAUUCACACUGGAUUUAAGCCAUUUGAGUGUGACCAGUGUGGGAAAACCUUCGCCUCAUCUGGGCAACUGAAACAGCACAUGGAAGUGCAUUCUGAUGAGCGGCCAUACAGCUGUGAUGAGUGUGGUAAAAGCUUCAAAAACGUGAGAACAUUUCGUGAACACAAGAGCAUCCACACUGGAGACAAGCCCCACCAGUGUGACCAGUGUGGGAAGAGUUUCAGACUUGUGAAGUUGCUCAAAAGUCACCAGCUCGUUCACAGUGAAGAUCGACCAUUCAGGUGUGACCAGUGUGAUCAGACUUUUAAAGCCUUUACACACCUCUCUGAUCAUGUCCGACUUCACACAGGAGACAAGCCGUAUGUCUGUGGUGUGUGUGGCAAUGCUUUUUUAAACUUGAGAAAGUUACAUAAUCACAUGAACAUCCACACAUGAGUCAAAAAAUACAGCUGUGAGCAGUGUGAGGAAGCAUUUAAUGAUAAAAGAAUGUUUUAGGAGACUUCACAGUGGAGUUAAGAAAUUUGAGUGUGACCAGUGUGGGAAAGUCUUCAGGUCAUCUAGGAACCUGAAAAUACACAUGAUCAUGCAUUCUGAUGAGCGGCCUUUCACCUGUGAUGAGUGUGGAAAAAGCUUCAAAAGGGUGAAAACCCUUGAUGAGCACAAGAGCAUCCACACUGGAGACAAGCCCCACCAGUGUGCUCAGUGUGGGAUGAGCUUCAGACUUGUGAUGUCGCUCAAAUGUCACAAGCUCAAUCACAUUAAAGAGCGCCCAUUUGAGUGUGACGCGUGAUAAAGCUUUUUAAACCUUUACAUACCUCCCUGAUCAUGUCCGACUCCACAGAGGAGACAACCCAUAUGUCUGUAGUGUGUGUGGCAGUGCUUUUUCACUCUCAGGUAGCUUAAAUAAACACAUGGCCAGCUACAAACUGCAGCUACAGACUUUUUCAGAGACCAGCACUUUGUUGAAAUAACAAACAGUGUAUUACCAGGAUAUGUGAAACAUAUGACAGCUGGAACAGUAUCUUUUGGGGUUAGUAUUUAUCAUGUGUACAUUUUUGGUUAAACUAAGUGUAUCACCAGGGCAUAUAUCACUUCAUAAUAUCACUUCAUAAUACAUCUCCUAUAACAAUACUUGAGUCUGUGUGUAGACAUCAGCAGGAUUUCACUGUCAUGACUGCCCCUUCUGGAGGCUGCUGUCAACAGGUUCUGUCUUUAGUCUCAUUUUAUUUCAUUCUGUUUUUGAAUCAUGUUUUCAAAUCUUUAUUUGAUAUUUGUACAGACAGUUGUACACUGUGUGAAAAAAUUAAAAUAAACAAUGUUACAUUACUUCCA